rnacentral:rRNA from 1 species
UACGUAGGGGGCAAGCGUUGUCCGGAAUCAUUGGGCGUAAAGAGCGUGUAGGCGGCCAGGUAGGUCUGGUGUGAAAACUCGAGGCUUAACCUCGAGAUGUCAUCGGAAACCAUCUGGCUAGAGUCCGGAAGAGGAGAGUGGAAUUCCUGGUGUAGCGGUGAAAUGCGCAGAUAUCAGGAAGAACACCAAUGGCGAAAGCAGCUCUCUGGGACGGUACUGACGCUGAGACGCGAAAGCGUGGGGAGCGAACAGG